GCGUCGGUGAUGCAACGGUACAGCACCGCUGUCCCGGAAAGAGUGAGAUCCGGGUUCGGAUCCCAGCUGACGCA